ensembl:lncRNA
CUUUGGUUUGUUUUUACUUUAACUGAUUUCAGCCUUUAGUCCUGCGCAAACCGCUCUGCUGCUGAGAGAUUUAAAGGAAAGGUUCUGCGCCUUUAAGAACUCAAUUCAGCUGCUCCACGGACUGAAGCACGCCAAGCCUCCCUGUCCUUCACCAUCUCCCGGAGCUUGCUCGGACUCCUGUCCAUUGAACCUUAAGGACUCCAGCAAUUCCAGCACUAUGUGCCAGUCACAUACUUUACAGUGAAGCACUUGAACCCUCCCUCCAACAACCCUACCAUGGAAUCUACUAUUAACUGCACUUGAUAGAUUUGAAAACAGUCACGUGGGCUUUCUGGGGGCUCAGUGGUAAAGAAUCCACCUGCCAAUGCAGGAGACACGGGUUCAAUCCCUGGUCCAGGAAGAUCCCACAUGCCAUGGGACAGCUAAGCCAGUGUGCUACGGCUACUGAGCCUGAGCUCUGGAGCCAGCAAGCCACAACUGCUGAGCCCGCAGGCCCUAGAGCCUGUGUGCCACGAGAAAAGCCACUGAGAUGAGAAGCCUGAGCACUGCAACCAGAGAGUAACCGCCCUACCACGAGAAAAGCCAUUGAAAUGAGAAGCCUGAGCACUGCAACUACAGAGUAACCGCCCUGCUCGCUGCGACUAGAGAAAAGCCUGCUUGCAGCAACGAAGACCCAGCACAGCCA